rnacentral:lncRNA from 1 species
AGACAAUUCAAGUCAAAGUAACAAAACAGUUACCAUCAAAUGACAACACAAUUUCAAGAAAAGAAAAUGCUGGUCUUCCACCUCUCGGUAACACUACAUGGCUCGAUCAGCACCAUUUCGUGAAUACCGUUCUCCUGUGUAGUCCUAGUGGUCUGAUCGUAACCACUGAAGACACACCAACACUCUCUUUGCUAGCAUCAGGGUUUAACACUGGAACCCU